GACGAACGCUGGCGGCGUGCUUAACACAUGCAAGUCGAACGGAAAGGCCCUGCUUUUGUGGUGUGCUCGAGUGGCGAACGGGUGAGUAACACGUGAGUAACCUGCCCUUGACUUUGGGAUAACUUCAGGAAACUGGGGCUAAUACCGGAUAAGAGCUCCUGCUGCAUGGUGGGGUUUGGAAAGUUUCGGCGGUUGGGGAUGGACUCGCGGCUUAUCAGCUUGUUGGUGGGGUAGUGGCUUACCAAGGCUUUGACGGGUAGCCGGCCUGAGAGGGUGACCGGCCACAUUGGGACUGAGAUACGGCCCAGACUCCUACGGGAGGCAGCAGUGGGGAAUAUUGCACAAUGGGCGGAAGCCUGAUGCAGCAACGCCGCGUGAGGGAUGACGGCCUUCGGGUUGUAAACCGCUUUCGCCUGUGACGAAGCGUGAGUGACGGUAAUGGGUAAAGAAGCACCGGCUAACUACGUG
rnacentral:rRNA from 1 species